CCUACGGGAGGCAGCAGUGGGGAAUCUUGCGCAAUGGGCGAAAGCCUGACGCAGCCAUGCCGCGUGUAUGAUGAAGGUCUUAGGAUUGUAAAAUACUUUCACCGGUGAAGAUAAUGACUGUAGCCGGAGAAGAAGCCCCGGCUAACUUCGUGCCAGCAGCCGCGGUAAUACGAAGGGGGCUAGCGUUGCUCGGAAUUACUGGGCGUAAAGGGAGCGUAGGCGGACAUUUAAGUCAGAGGUGAAAUCCCGGAGCUUAACUUCGGAACUGCCUUUGAUACUGGGUGUCUUGAGUGUGAGAGAGGUAUGUGGAACUCCGAGUGUAGAGGUGAAAUUCGUAGAUAUUCGGAAGAACACCAGUGGCGAAGGCGACAUACUGGCUCAUUACUGACGCUGAGGCUCGAAAGCGUGGGGAGCAAACAGGAUUAGAUACCCUGGUAGUCCACGCCGUAAACGAUGAUUGCUAGUUGUCGGGAAGCUUGCUUCUCGGUGACGCAGCUAACGCAUUAAGCAAUCCGCCUGGGGAGUACGGUCGCAAGAUUAAAACUCAAAGGAAUUGACGG
rnacentral:rRNA from 1 species